CCGACUCCUUGGCUCCCCUUCACUAAAAUAUCUGUAGUUUUCUUUCACUGCAGGCUCUAUUCUCUCUCUAUUCUUUCAUCUGAAAAAUCAAGAUUUGAUGUUUAUAGUUGAUCCAAUGGUGCAAAUAGAUACGUUUUAUGAUUCUUGAUGUAAUGAUCUAUCGAUUCAGAUGCAUUUUAACGGCUGUUUACAAUCUUUCAUAUUUUGAUGCUUGAUGAUGUUGCAAAUAACAAUGGUGUCGUUGACGUAUUCGAGAAAAGGCCUGACUCAACUCUCCAACAUUUUCAAUAAGUUUUUUCUUUUUCUUUUUUCCUCAAAGAAAAUUUUGUGUCUAUUAUAUAUAUUAUAUUUUUCUGCUGCAUAAUAAUCGUGUGUAAUGCUUCUCUGAUUCUUGAAGUAUUUGAAGACCCAGUGCAGGCGUUGGAAAAUGGGAGAGAAGUAUUUGAACAGAAGCAACUUUCUCCUUGAGCUGUAAAUUCUCUCGGAGCAUUUUUGUUCAAUUAGCAAUGAAUGCAUUUUGCAGAUUCAUUUUGGUUUUUUAUUCAAUUACUAGUGCAAUGUUCAACCACUAUAAUGAAUUCAUUUUGGUUCUUAGUUUCAAGCACUGAAACUAGAAUUUUGCAGACUA